rnacentral:rRNA from 1 species
UACGGGGGGGCAAGCGUUGUUCGGAAUUACUGGGCGUAAAGGGCUCGUAGGUGGCCAACUAAGUCGGACGUGAAAUCCCUCGGCUUAACCGGGGAACUGCGUUUGAUACUGUUUGGCUCGAGUCCGGGAGAGGGUAGUGGAAUUCCAGUGUAGCGGUGAAAUGCGUAGAUAUUGGGAGGAACACCGGUGGCGAAGGCGGCUACCUGGACCGGUACUGACGCUGAGGCGCGAAAGCUAGGGUAGCAA